GGUCAGCCAGUCUGCAGAAACAGCAGGGUCAGGUGCCCACCAGGCCUAAUUCCCUUGCCUUUCCUUUCUCAGGGGGGCAAUAAAAGCCUUAGAAUCGCUGCUAGAGGGAGCCCUGAGGCAACUACAGAGUGGAUGGGACGGAUGAUGCCCUGGCCUGCUCCCUCCCCACACCCAGCAUCCUGCCAGGUCUGAGUAAUCGGUUCCUGAUGGAAGCACCACCCCUUGCCCUGCCAUUUGUCCAGCCACCUGUGGCUGCUGGCAGCUCAGGCCCAACCAUCUCAUCUGUCAUCGGGGUACUGCUCCAGACCGGCUGAAGCUGAAACAUUGAGAUACUGAGGCCAAAUAUCAAAAGGCUCCCAGCCACUCUGCAAGCUCGUGACUUGGGACGCUUUCCCAUGGUCUGCAAAGCCAGGCUGCUGAGAGAGCUCUGGAGGACUGUUUAGGCUCAACUUUACGUCCUCCUAAAUCCACAAGAUAUGGGCGGCCCCAGGUGAAGAGGACCAAGAGAAUAUACUAAUGGAUCCGCCCAAUCAUAGUGAGUUUUCUGUGGAUCCAAGAAGCAGCAGGAGAAUGACAAUUCCCAGGUCUCUGGCGAUGUGGAUGCUGGUGGCAGGAGACCAUGUUUGGAGGAGCACCUAUCCAGAUUUUCAGAAACACUGGCCCAGGGCCAGACCCACAGUGGAAGACAGUCUCAUAGGAGGGAGUAGGACUUGGUCUGCUGAGCCAGUGGCCACCUGAGGUGGUCCCUUCCAGGGAUGCUAUGAAGUCUGUGGGGCCCCUGCUGCUGGGGCAUAUGGGAGCCCUUCACAGGCUGUCCAUUGUCACUGGGAUACCCCCAUGUCUGCUUCCUCCACAUUGCUUCUGACUCCCCCACUCCUGCAACAAAUGGAACUAGAUUAACAUCAUGGUGGUGUGGUGAAGAGAUGCUGAAGAGCACAGAGAGGGGGAGGGAAUAAACAUUUACUGAGUAUC